GGAAUCUUCGGCAAUGGACGAAAGUCUGACCGAGCAACGCCGCGUGAGUGAAGAAGGUUUUCGGAUCGUAAAACUCUGUUGGUAGAGAAGGACGUUGGUGAGAGUGGAAAGCUCAUCAAGUGACGGUAACUACCCAGAAAGGGACGGCUAACUACGUGCCAG
rnacentral:rRNA from 1 species